GAUGAACGCUGGCGGCGUGCCUAAUACAUGCAAGUCGAGCGAACAGAUAAGGAGCUUGCUCCUUUGACGUUAGCGGCGGACGGGUGAGUAACACGUGGGUAACCUACCUAUAAGACUGGGAUAACUUCGGGAAACCGGAGCUAAUACCGGAUAAUAUUUCGAACCGCAUGGUUCGAUAGUGAAAGAUGGUUUUGCUAUCACUUAUAGAUGGACCCGCGCCGUAUUAGCUAGUUGGUAAGGUAACGGCUUACCAAGGCGACGAUACGUAGCCGACCUGAGAGGGGGAUACGGCCAACUGGAACUGAGAAACGGGCCCGACUCCCAAGGGAGGGAGGAGGAGGGAAACUUGCGCAAAGGGGGAAAGCCUGACCGAGCCAAGCCGCGUGAGUGAUGAAGGUCUUCGGAUCGUAAAACUCUGUUAUUAGGGAAGAACAUACGUGUAAGUAACUGUGCACGUCUUGACGGUACCUAAUCAGAAAGCCACGGCUAACUACGUG
rnacentral:rRNA from 1 species